rnacentral:sRNA from 1 species
AUUUUGCUAAAGCUAGGGACGUUACUAGCUUUCCUUUUUCCUUUUUCACUAUCUAUGCAUAUGCAAAUGCAAGAAGCUUGUUUAGAUAUUUAGAUUAUGAUUUGUCUAGAAGAUGGUUUUGUUGGUCAGCUCUGGCAUGAAGAGUGUGUAGUUCUAGCCUGUAGUUCUCGUGCAAUGGCUUAUCAGCUUAAGCUAUUUAACUAUUUUAAGCACUACAUUUAUACUGAUAUAUAUAUAUACUUAAUGAC